rnacentral:lncRNA from 1 species
UUUUACACUGGUUCUGGACAAAGAAAGAUGGCGUUUUGGGCUUUGUUACAAGUAGUAAAUAACUGAAAGCGUAAAAGAUGUCUAUGUGAGGUAUGAAGUUGAAAAGUCAAAAGUUAGUGUAUACCAAGACCAGAAAUGAAGCUAAGAUAGAGACAGACAUAGUACAGGUCAUGUAACAGAUGGUUAGUCACAGGGUUAGUAAUCCUUAUGCUGGACAUGAGUAUCAAGAUCUGCACUGUUCGCCACAUAGUCAGUAUAUUUUUGGCGUGGACAGAAUGUUGUUGUGGUGACUUUGUUCAAGUUACAUAUUCUGACAAAGAUGGUAAAGCAGUGGCAGACAGAGUUGUGUGACAUUGUGUAUGUUUCAUUUGUUAGAGCCCAUGCACAGACAGAAGAAAAGCCAAGUUGCCACUCUUGCAGCCAGUUGAACACAAGAAUCCACUCUAUGUGCAAAUCUACAAAUUCCAUAUCAUCUAAAAGAAGACAACAUUCCACAUAUUCCAGUUAAGCAUGUGGAAGUCUCUCUGGCUGAUGUGGUUAAACUUGAACAGAACACCAAAGACUAGGGUAACAUAAUCUAAUAUGGCACCAGGAAAGAGCCAAGAGGAUAACUGCAUCACUUCUUGGACACUUUAUAAUAAGACAGGCUCCUAUAACAAAGAUAUUUGUCAAUAGUGUUCUUAUGCCCAAACUAUUUACAAGUGCCAAAAUAAGUUAUUGAAAAUUACAAUGAAAAGGUGGCACACAAUAUGUAUAGAAAAAAAAUGAACAACCGCAUCAAUGUGCAUGGUUUUGUUGUCAACCAAGACUUUCCAUAUAUUGUGGCAUCACCAGGUGGCAAAACUUGUGACAAUUCCUCCAUUUGAAUUCUUGAAAUUAAGUGUCCAUUCUCUCUAAGAGACUAACAGAAUCAACAUCGGAAGAUUAAGUAAAUCCCAAAAGCUAUACUUAGAAAAAGUUCGGGAAAAUGUAAGGAUAGAAGUCAUACAUCCAUAUUGGUAUCAAAUCCAGGGACAGCAUAGUAAUUAAUAACAGCAGCAGAUUUCUGUGACUCUGUAUACUAGACAUGACAGUCAUAUCUAUUCAAAGAGUGAUGCCAAACAAAGUUACAAUGGAUGGAAUACUAUUAACCCUUACCCUGCUAAAUUUCUAUAAUGAAAUUGUCCAUCUUUCAAUUUGGACAACCAUUAACUGUUAAAAGGGGUGCUGACUAAAGAGAUACUGACUGAAUGGCAAGCAAUGCAAAUCU